rnacentral:rRNA from 1 species
GACGAACGCUGGCGGCGUGCUUAACACAUGCAAGUGGAGCGACGAACCGGGCUUCGGCCCGGGGCAAAGCCGCGAACGGGUGAGUAUCACGUGGGUAACCUGCCCCGAUGACCGGGAUAACCCGAGGAAACUCGGGCUAAUACCGGAUGUGCUUGCCGCACAUCAGUGCGGUGAGAAAAGGAAGCUUCGGCCUCCGCAUUGGGAUGGGCCCGCGGCCCAUUAGCUUGUUGGUGAGGUAAUGGCUCACCAAGGCUGCGAUGGGUAGCUGGUCUGAGAGGACGAUUAGCCACACUGGGACUGAGAAACGGCCCAGAAUCCUGCGGGAGUCAGCAGUGGGGAAUCUUGCGCAAUGCGCGGAAGCGUGACGCAGCAACGCCGCGUGAGGGAAGAAGGCCUUCGGGUUGUAAACCUCUUUCAGGAGGGACGAAGGUUCAGGCGCGAAUAGCGUCCUGGACUGACGGUACCUCCAGAAGAAGGCCCGGCUAACUACGUGCCAGCCGCCGCUGUAAGAC